CAACAGGGAUUGCCCUAGUAACGGCGAGUGAAGCGGCAACAGCUCAAAUUUGAAAUCUGGCUCUCGGGCCCGAGUUGUAAUUUGUAGAGGAUGCUUUUGGUGCGGUGCCUUCCGAGUUCCCUGGAACGGGACGCCAUAGAGGGUGAGAGCCCCGUCUGGUUGGAUGCCAAUCCUCUGUAAAGCUCCUUCGACGAGUCGAGUAGUUUGGGAAUGCUGCUCUAAAUGGGAGGUAUAUGUCUUCUAAAGCUAAAUACCGGCCAGAGACCGAUAGCGCACAAGUAGAGUGAUCGAAAGAUGAAAAGAACUUUGAAAAGAGAGUUAAAAAGUACGUGAAAUUGUUGAAAGGGAAGCGCUUGUGACCAGACUUGGGCUUGGUUGAUCAUCCAGGGUUCUCCCUGGUGCACUCUUCCGGCUCAGGCCAGCAUCAGUUUGCCUCGGGGGAUAAAGGCUUCGGGAAUGUGGCUCUCUCCGGGGAGUGUUAU
rnacentral:rRNA from 2 species